AUUAAUACAGCCUUUAGAGAAACUCUCUCAAGAUGGAAGGGCAAGUGCUAGCAUUUUCACAUAUAUGGGGUAGGAUUUAGCUGGUCAGCUGGAUUUUUGCUGUAAUUUUCACAUAUUAGAUCAAUGACAUUGUUCUACCAAUAGGGGUGGUCACUAAUGUGAGAGUGCGAGACAGAUAUUCUACAGGCUCAUUUGCGAAGUAAGACAUGCUGGCCCAUGGGAGGGAGGUUGGUGCAUCCAAAGGAAGCUGGAGGACUGGACAUCAGGGAUAUUGAGUUUGCUGCCAGGGUAGUCAAUGUGAGGACGUUACACAUGUUUUGGACAGGGUUUUGUACUCUCCAGUUGGAUCUGAGAUAGAUACAUUAAUGGGAGGGGUUUUCAUCAAAUUUCAAUCUCAGGAUAGGAAUUUAGUCAUGUGCAAAGCUAUUCUGAAGAGCAGAGAGGAUAUUGACCUGCUAUGUUCAAUGGUCAUGGACACCAGAGAACGUGGGGAAACCCACCGUACACCUCACCAUCGGACUUUGACUCUUGGGAUCCGUAUAACCGUCUGAGAGAGUUCGGAGGCCACCGGAGAUGACAGGGAAGCCCUACACUCAUUGGAUUUGAGAGAUAUCAGCGCUACACAGAUCGUGAUGAUAGGGAGGAUUGAUUCGAUAGAGGUCCGCGACCUUAUGAGAAUGAAUAUGGGAAGUAUAGAUUGAAGAUGGAGAUUCCAACCUUCAAUGGUCAUAUGAGAAUCGAGGAAGUGCUAGACUGGUUAACUGAAGUAAAGUGCUUCUUCGAAGUCAUGGAAAUUCCCGAAUAACAGAAGGUCGAAUUAGUGAGAGUCAAACUGAAAUUUCGGGCUUCAGUUUGG
rnacentral:lncRNA from 1 species